rnacentral:tRNA from 1 species
GCGCCUGUAGCUCAGAGGAUAGAGCAACGGACUUCUAAUCCGUAGGUCGCAGGUUCGAAUCCUGCCAGGCGCG